UAGCAUACAAAUUCCGCUUUUACACUAGAAUACCCCCUUAAAAACUCGGGCAGAGCUUGAUCUUCGAAAUAUUUACAGACAGCUGCUGAAGACACGUACGUCUGCUAACGUCUUUGAUUACGUGACUCGACGAAGAGAAAUACCGAAUGAGCGUUAUUUCGAGACGACAUGCAGUCGAGAGAUGAGCGUGUUGACAUUCCUCGGAAAUAAACAAAAAGUAUCGUAGCUUCAAUGAAGUGGAUCAGCGAUAACGAAGUCCAGACAUGAAAGCGAUUUAUUUGCCACACGAGGGUGACGAGGGACGUCAGAGGCCGGGGGAAUAUCUGUCUGUCUUUAUUCCACUCGCAGUCUUCACAAAACAAUAUGAUAAAUUAAUAACGCUUUAAAUAAGUUAAGACUAUAAA